rnacentral:tRNA from 1 species
GCUGCUGUGGCCGAGUGGUCUAAGGCGAUGGUUUUAAGAAGCUUCAUGAGAAGCUGAUUUCACCAUUAUCGAAAGAUGCGAGGGUUCGAACCCCUCCGGCAGCA